rnacentral:rRNA from 1 species
AUUGAACGCUGGCGGCAUGCCUUACACAUGCAAGUCGAACGGCAGCGCGGACUUCGGUCUGGCGGCGAGUGGCGAACGGGUGAGUAAUACAUCGGAACGUACCCUGUUGUGGGGGAUAACUAGUCGAAGGAUUAGCUAAUACCGCAUACGACCUGAGGGUGAAAGUGGGGGACCGCAAGGCCUCACGCAGCAGGAGCGGCCGAUGUCUGAUUAGCUAGUUGGUGGGGUAAAGGCCCACCAAGGCGACGAUCAGUAGCUGGUCUGAGAGGACGAUCAGCCACACUGGGACUGAGACACGGCCCAGACUCCUACGGGAGGCAGCAGUGGGGAAUUUUGGAUAGUGGGGGCAACCCUGAUCCAGCAAUGCCGCGUGUGUGAAGAAGGCCUUCGGGUUGUAAAGCACUUUUGUCCGGAAAGAAAUCGCGCUGGUUAAUACCUGGCGUGGAUGACGGUACCGGAAGAAUAAGCACCGGCUAACUACGUGCCAGCCGCCGCUGUAA